rnacentral:lncRNA from 1 species
UGUGGUACAAUGCAGUAAUAGAUAAUUUGCGUUUUGGUGAAUAGGACCUCUGUAUGUGAUUUGAAACUAAGUAUUUGAUAGUCCAAGCUCUCUUAUCGUCCCUCCCCUCCCCACUUUCUGCUUCCUUUCUAGCAGCAGGCACAUUUGAAGAAAAUGAUGGAGUUUCAGAGCAAGAAAAUGUAUAACAUGAUAGCAGAUAGGCAGUGUGAAAUCUGUACCUUCUUGCCCUUGCCUGAGGUGUAGAAUGCCCUUAAUAGUAUGUGAGACCUAGGCUCACCUGCUAAUAAUUUAUAAUUUACUGUCCUAAUUCAUCGAUUUGUUACCACUAAUUGUACUUCAUUUACUUCUGUGUAGUUUCCAGUACCUAAAGGGUUGAAAGGUUGCUGUAAUUGGCACCCGCAGCUGCUCUAUCUUUUGACAGGGGAUAAUUUUGCAGCCUAUGCUUUGUGUGACAGCUGCCUAAUUGGGCAUUCUCCCCUUGUAGCGAGCCUGCCUCCUCCAGCCUCCCUGCUGACAAAUGGUGGUGGAUUAUAGAUGAGGACAUGCUGACCCAUUCGACCUUGCUGAGACAGCGGGGAGGGGCCUCCUGCUACUUCAGGGAAGCUUUGGGUCAUUUAAAGGACAAGGUCAUGAGCCAGGUGGGGGAAAUGACAUGAUAUCACAUGACAAUAGCCUGAUGACACGGUCAUUAUGUCAAGGACAAACUGAUCAGUAUUGAUUUUGCUUCUGCCUUUAUGAUUUGUCACCGAAAGCACUGAUACUUCAAAAGUAUUUUGCCAGUUUACAGGAGAUGAAAUGCCAAAUGAUAUGAGGGUUUCCCCCCCCUUUUUUUCUGCAUGCAGAUCACACAUGUAAUAAAGCUCUGUUGAUAAUGAGUCAGAUUCUCAAUCUUACUGCCUAGGAAAUACUACAGUUUCUGAUAAGAGCUUUUGACAAAUUCCAGGUAUCCAGUUGCUGCUGAAUAUUUUAACGUUAAAUUCCAGUUUACAAAUGUAUAGCCAACAUUACACAUAUCUAGUGAUUUAUUAUAACUUUAUGGAUAACAGAAAAGAGGCUACAUAUAAGUGAUUUGGUGAAUCUAUAUAAUGUGUAAAUAUUCAAGUGAUAUCAACUGUUGUGAAGAAUCAAAGCACACUAUCCCAACUUUGGCAGGCCAAAAGAAAAACAAAAAAGCAAAACCCAGCUUCUAAUUAUUUACAAUAAACAUGCUUGUAAAGGUGAUGAUUUUACAAGUGUUUUAAACUUUGUUCCAUGCUGAUAAACACCAGGCUGAAUGACAGAACGUUUGACAUUUCUAAUUUUAGACAAUAUUAAAUAUUUAUAAUAUUUAUAACAAUUGGCAAUUGACAGUUGGCGUGUUUUGUUCUGUUUUUCCUUCCUUCAAAAAUUUUCUUCUGAAAUCUGUUAACGUCAGUUCUAAUGUUAGGAGCAUACUUUCAUUUAAUUUAUGCUUUUCUGGAAUUACUAAUACUUUUUAGGUUCAAAACUGUCAACCUUUCUGCACAGAAAACACACUUCGCCGCCUGUCAUUUUGGUGAAAAGAGAAUUAGUGUUGGCUGCUCCUGUGCCCAAAUCCUCGCAUCUCGCUAGGAAGUAAUUUUAAUUCCCCGAGGUAAAAAGCCAUCAAUAGUAAAGUAUGAUGAAUUAGUUCACUCAAGUAGGUGUGUGUUUUCUGACCUUGCUGUGCAUGUGUUUAGCUACUCUCAGUGGCUGAGUCAAGCUUGGUGGAGGCUUAAUCCUGUGCCCUUGUACACGUAUACUUGAUUAGUAGUUGUGGUUAUCUCAGCAGAAGACAUUCCGCCCUCCUCCUGGUAUUGGUUGGGACCCAGGCAUUGGGGAGUAAAGUCGAAGGAGAAAGAAAAGAGAUUUUGCAUUAGUAUUCUAUGAAAGCCUUACUGUCUGCAGAACAAAUUGAUUGCUACAGUGUACCUGUGCUUGGCACCACUGCUGUGAAAGAAAGGUAUGGUUGUAAUCUGUUUUAUUGUAUUACCUAUUGUCACACUCCAGGAAUGUUUAGCAUCAAGCUCUUUCUUUGGCACAUGGCUAUAUGGUAAAGGAAUGAAAUAAAGGAAUGGAAAAGUAUGAGAGGGUGUAUCUUUGUUCACUACAGUAAACUAUGUAGCCAGUUGUAAUGAGGCACGUUUUUUCCUGUAUAUUCCAGUAGUAGCAUAAAUGGAAUGCUAACAAAAAUGUAUGUCAGUGUUUUGCAACAUGCAGAGAUGGAUGGAAUGACAAGUAAUUUUGUAAGUUCUGAACAACCAGAGGAAUAGGAGAAAUAUUUGUUUGUGAACAUGGUUUUGUUAUCAAGUUAACAUUUUCUGCCUUUCACUGCACUGCUACUGCACACUGCUGCUCAGAGAAUGAAAUUAAGGGAAAGAUGCUCACAAAUGGUAGAUGCUGCAUGCUUUAAUAUGCUAAAGAGUUUUUUUUACAUUAAAAUAUGCUCUCUCUAGGUAGAUGUAAAAUGUAGAUGAUGAAAAUUAAAAUUUGUUUUAACUUUAAUUUGCCAUAAUUUCCUGUAAUUCUAUAAAGAAAAUGCUGUAGUGCCCAUUCUUCCAACGAGUCAGCUAUAAAUCUCAUCAGUUAAUACAUUUGUGUGUGUUUUUUCCUGAGUCCUAUGCUGAUCUCAGUUAUCUGUGUGACAGGAAGUGCACAGCACUCUAUUAAUAAAGAUUCAGACUGUUUCAUAGUGAUCUCUGUAGAGUACUCCAUUGUUGACAUUGCUGAAGUUGUGUUUGUAAUUAUUUGGAUAUUUGCUUUUGGCUCCGUUAAAACAUUUAAAUCAUUUCAAACCUGAUAAUACAGAAAAUCACAGGCAGUUAAGAUGAGGGACAGGUGGCAAGCUUGUGUAAUGCAUCUCAAUCUGAUAGAGAACCCAAGCAAUAGCUUCACAAGGAAAUGCAAUCCCAUCUCUAAAGAUCUGCAGAAACAUUUAAGAUAUUAGGAGUAAAUGGCAAAACUGACAUGGAUAUUAAGAGGUUUAGCUUGAAUACAAUGUAUGAAAAUGAAGUAUUGAUUGCUGAAAGCUAUAGGCAAAGAUCUGUUAUGAUGUACCAUAUGGCCUUCUGCAUUCAAGCUAAUGUUUUAUAGAUGUACAGUGAUUAUUGUAAUAAGGGCAUAUUUGAGUUUAGAAUCAGAUUUGAUUUGUAAUUGUGUGAAUAGCUAAAAAUUACUCAGUAUAAAAACCCAUUAACAAUGUAAGUAUCAGAAGUGUGGACAAGCCAUUAUAAUGUGUUUUCUUAUACAUAAAUAACAAAUAAAUUAUGCUCAACUUCAAAGUAAUGUAAUUUGUUGUUUAAAUCUCUGUUUCUGUGGUGCACAAGUUGUCAACUGAAAGCAAUACAUGCAAUAGAAAUAAAUGAGUAGUUACUUGAAAAAUGACAAAGCUAUCAAAAAUAAAACCAACAGCAUGAUUCUAUCCAUGUUCACUUGGAAGAAAACCUUGCUGGGUUUAAUGGGAUUUGCUUUCAAAUAAGUGUCCAGGUAAAUGCAGCAAAACUUGUACGUUAGAAGAUAGUUGCCAUGCCAAUAUUUAUUAUCUGCCAGAAAGAAUGAACAUUUAUGCUACUUUUACUGUUUCAAAUUGCAUUUUUAAUAUUGUAUGUCAUUAUUUUAAUUUUCUGUGAGCUACCCAGUACCCAUUAAAUAUAAGUAAAUGAAUUAAUAACUUUUUGUUGGACGUAAUAAGUGUUGCAUUGUUUUGAACCAAUUAUUGGGUGUUUUUUUGCGAUUUAUUUAUUGCCCAAACAUACAAAUAAAAUUGUACUGGACUGAGCUUAACUUUCUUUUAAAUACAAUUUAAUCUGCUAGGGGGAAAAGCAAAAGGAGCAAAAGUCAUUAAAUCCACUUCAAAACUCUAAGAAUAUUCUGACUUGUGUUUAGUUGUUGGCAACUACCUCCUAUAAUAUUUUAUAGGGAAUCAUUAUUUAUUUGUGAAACAUACCUUAAUUUCUAUCAGACCAUAGGAAUACUGGGAGUAUCACAGAUUUUGAACAUUUUGAUUAGAGAUAAUCUUGUGUCAGUCAGAUAUAUUUAUAUCUGUAUUUCUUCUUGUCAUAAUUUUAAAAUACGAUUUGGGGCAUUAAUUUCUUUCUAUUAGGAAGCAUAUCCAAAACAGUGAUUUGGAAUAGGCCAUUUACUGUGGGUUGGUAGUACAUAAUGUUAUACAAUCUUAAGAAUGCAACAGGAAGCAUACCUCUUAAUUUUACUUCCAAAUACUUUCCACUUCCCAGUUCCUUCCAUUUAUUUUGCUUUUCACCCAUCAAACACACCUUCCAAUGGAUCUUGUAGCCUCCAGGAAUUUUUCAAAUUAGUAUUCUUCCAUCAGUAUGCAGUUUUUUUGUAGUUAAUUUUGGAUAAGUGCUUCAUUGCACUCUUAACACAUAUACACAACUUUUU